UACAUUGUUGUUAAAAAAUAUCCGUUGUUUUAGUAACUAGGUAAUGUUUUGUUACUGUGUUGGAAAGAAGGAUUAAAGCUAGAACGGCUUGGUAAAGUCCUGUAUUUCUGCUGGUCCUGUCUGUUGACAGGUCAGGUUUUUUUUUUAUACUGGAUCAUUCCUGAAGUGGAUACCUCCUUUGAUCUUGAUGGCGAGCCUUCCCACCUGGACCUAAAGAGAGAACCAGAUUUCGCCUAUCCCAUUUGGAGUCCUGCUGCACCCUGCGGUGUGAUCUCAGUUCUGGAUGGAUCUCAUGAACAAUUUCAAGGAAAGACAUCUCUUCAAUGGAAGUCAUGAGCACACAUGCCUUGUGCGGUUUGUCUUCAUGGACAUGCUACAGAGAGAUCUUGAUGAAUGCAAGGACAGGUGGAAUAAACAUACCAUAACACCUGUUAAACAAUCUUGCUGUCCAUCUGGUAAACCAGAUGUGAUGUAUCAUCUACCUCACAGGUUUGGUGGAACAGACUGUGGUUUCCCAGUCUCCCAGGAGCAAUUGGGACAGUUUGGGACCGAGACUAACAACAUUCAUUGUGGAGAUGAACACCUUCAGGCACAUUUUGAGAACCUCCAGAGACAGUGUGGCCUAGCACAUCCACAGAGUUGGGAAUCAUGUGUCGAAAACUAUAUCAAACUGAAAAACAUGGCAGACUUAUAAACAAACAAGAAUCCAAAUUUGAAGGUCGCACACAAACACUAAACAGUGUCAUAACUGAACAGGUUUGACAAGUUAAAUAGUUAGCAUUUUGUUUUGUUGUUAUGCAUUUGACCUUAAUAAAGCCCAAACCCAGGGGAGUUUUGAAUCCCAAAGUCCAUGUCUUCUUUAAACUGAUGAUACGUCUUGGACAUUGGUAUUUUGAUAGUGUUGGAGCAGGUGCUACUGACAGGAAAACGAGAAGUGGCCUGAAAGAUCAGUUUUGGUGGUGGCAGAAUUGAAGAUGGAGGUAGUGUGUUCAAGCCGGUGGCAAACAUCAGGAUGUCCUGGAGAGAGAGACCUGUUUUUUGUUCUAGAAAAGAAGCAAUGACUUUAUGUAUCAGAUAUUACAAUAACACCAGAAUAUAGCAAUAAAUCUUAAAGUCCACCUUCUGUGUCAAGGAGAAAGUCUCUCCAGAAUCCUAGCACUCUUGUUUCCUCAUGUCGUCUGCUGCUACCCUUUUCACUGAGCUGAACCUCAAAUAUUUCCUCCAAUAUUUUGGAUGUCAGCUGUUCCACUCCUGCACACAUAAAUGGCCUGAAGACGGAAGCAUGCUGCUCCAAAGCAUUCUGGAAGUUCAGUGUUGAAAGUCCAUCCUUGAAUCUAUAAAAAGUUUGAAACAGAAAUCACCUUAAUUAUUAUCAAAAGAGCUGAUAUUUUUCAGUAACACAAAGAACAUUAAUAUGUCUAAUCUUUUUUUUAUUAUUUUUAUUUAGCAUAGGUAAUAUUGCUGAUGCACUGUACACAGUGAAUUAACCUACAGUAACGUUCAUUUUCUCCAGUUAAGC